AGUAAAAACUGUAAACAUAACUGGUGUUGGCUACAGAUUUUCUAUAAUCAACUUUUGUUGAUUAAAAAAAUUGUCUCAGGUGUGAGGGAACCCUGCUGUCUGAAAAAUGGGCCUCAAUAAGAUGCCGAGGGUAUUCUGAAGUAGGGAUGGGCAAUCAUCUUCACAAAAGGUGCAGUGAGGGAGCAGGCUUUCACUCCAGCUAAUGCAGUACCGUACUUCAUUCACCUUAACAUUUAAUCAUCAUCUGCUCUACAAUAAAUACUUAUUUUUAGUGUAAUCAACAGAGUUCAUGGCUUCAAGCAAACUGGCCCUAACAAGAUUCUUGCCUGUCCUGACUCCGAGCCCGCCUGCCUAACCACUGCCUGACCCUGACCCUGAGCCUGCCUGCCUAACUACUCUGCCUGACCCUGAGCCUGCCUGCCUAACUACUCUGCCUGACCCUGACCCUGCCUGCCUAACCACUCUGCCUGACCCUGACCCUGACUGCCUAACCACUCUGCCUGACCCUGACUCCGAGCCCGCCUGCCUAACCACUCUGCCUGCCCCUGCCUGCCUAACCCGGACCCUGAGCCCACCUGCCUAACCACUCUGCCUGCCCCUGACCUUGAGCCUGCCUGCCGACCUGAACCUUUGCCCCCCUCUGGAUUACCGACCUCUGUCGUACCCUGGACCUGCCUGCCGCCGACCUCUGUCGUACCCUGCUGCCCCACCUCUGGUUUACAGACCCCUGCCUGCCUUGACCUGUCUAUUGCCUGCCCCUGUUAGAAUAUUAAACUAUUGUUUAUUUGA